AACGAACGCUGGCGGCGCGCCUAAUACAUGCAAGUCGAACGAGAAUGUGUAGCAAUACACAUGUACAGUGGCGAACGGGUGAGGAAUACAUGGGUAACCUACCCUCGAGUGGGGAAUAACUAGCCGAAAGGUUAGCUAAUACCGCGUACGCUUCCCGGACUGCGGUUCGGGAAGGAAAGCGAUACCGUGGGUAUCGCGCUCUUGGAUGGGCUCAUGCCCUAUCAGCUUGUUGGUGAGGUAACGGCUCACCAAGGCUUCGACGGGUAGCUGAUCUGAGAGGAUGAUCAGCCACACUGGCACUGCGACACGGGCCAGACUCCUACGGGAGGCAGCAGUAAGGAAUAUUGCGCAAUGGGCGAAAGCCUGACGCAGCGACGCCGCGUGGGGGAUGAAGGUCUUCGGAUUGUAAACCCCUUUCGGGAGGGAAGAUGGGAUGGGGUAACCCAUUCGGACGGUCCUCCAGAAGC
rnacentral:rRNA from 1 species